AGAGUUUGAUCCUGGCUCAGAAUCAACGCUGGCGGCGUGCCUAACACAUGCAAGUCGCACGAGAAAGGGUAGCAAUACCUGAGUAAAGUGGCGCACGGGUGAGUAACACGUGACUAAUCUACCCUCGAGUGGGGAAUAACCUAGAGAAAUCUGGGCUAAUACCGCAUAACACUUACGAGUCAAAGCAGCAAUGCGCUUGGGGAGGAGGUCGCGGCCGAUUAGCUAGUUGGCGGGGUAAUGGCCCACCAAGGCGAUGAUCGGUAUCCGGCCUGAGAGGGCGCACGGACACACUGGAACUGAAACACGGUCCAGACUCCUACGGGAGGCAGCAGUGGGGAAUUUUGCGCAAUGGGGGAAACCCUGACGCAGCAACGCCGCGUGGAGGAUGAAAUAUCUUGGUAUGUAAACUCCUUUCGAUGGGGAAGAUUAUGACGGUACCCAUAGAAGAAGCCCCGGCUAACUUCGUGCCAGCAGCCGCGGUAAUACGAGGGGGGCAAGCGUUGUUCGGAUUUAUUGGGCGUAAAGGGUGCGUAGGCGGUUUGAUAAGUCUGAUGUGAAAUCUAUGGGCUCAACCCAUAGUCUGCAUUAGAAACUGUCGGGCUUGAGUAUGGGAGAGGUGAGUGGAAUUUCCGGUGUAGCGGUGAAAUGCGUAGAUAUCGGAAGGAACACCUGUGGCGAAAGCGGCUCACUGGACCAUAACUGACGCUGAUGCACGAAAGCUAGGGGAGCAAACAGGAUUAGAUACCCUAGUAGUCC
rnacentral:rRNA from 1 species